rnacentral:tRNA from 1 species
GGGGGUGUAGCUCAGUGGUAAAGCACUUGCCUAGGAUGCAUGAGGCCCUAGGUCCCAUCCCCA